AGAUAAGUCUCUGUUAAAGACAGCUUUACCUUACCCCUCAGGAAUGUUCUGUUUGAAGCAGACCCAGCUAAUCCGUGAACAGAGAUCAACAAUUAAAGCUCUUGGGCAUUGACUUUUGCUGCGGAAACAGGGAGGCUGAAGCUGAGUAAACAAGAUGAGUAUAUUCGCAGCAGCUGGCUGUGUGCUCUACAGAAAUUGGCAAUCACAGUUUGGGGCCAAGCUGAGGCAGAGGAUGUGGAGGGCUUGGAAUCGUGGACCGAGGAGUACUUUUUGCUUAUUUGACAUAAUACCAUAGCAACAAGCUGUUAUGCUGCACAAGCUGGUCUCAUUAGGAGUGUUGUUUGCAUCCUUCCCUUGGAAAGGGGACACAGCACUGCACCCUGUGGCUAAGACUGACACAGUGCAGCUGAAGAACCAGAGAACUGGAGAAUGGUUUGAGAAAGUGUCCUCCUCAUUGCAGUCGAUACCUUCUAGUUCACGUGUUGAAAGGGUCAGUAACUUCUUUAUGUCACCUGUAAUUUUGUGAGAUGGCUGCCUGCUCCAAACAGAAAUGGAAGACUAAAAAACUCCACAAGCCUCGUGAUUAAUACAGAACCCUGUAGACAGAAGACGGAUUGGCUCACACUGGAUAAAUGAGUACAUGGCAGAUGGUGUGUGCUUGACUGUCACCUUGAAAUUGAUCCUGGACGCAACCAAGCUGGGAUACAUCUGCAACUGGGAAAUGGCCACCUGAUAAAGAGGAAUUUUUUGACCGCAACCUUGUAAGUGUAGGAGUGUCAGUUACUCUUCAUGCAUUCAAUUUCAUCUCUAUGGAUGCUAUGGGCACCUACUACAAGGACUGCAGGAUUUGGCAAAGGUAACCAGAGAAGACUGGGAUGAAAACUUAUGUUGCUGCGAUGUGAUCUGUCUGGAGUGAUGCACUGUCCCAAGUGGCCAAGGAAAAGGGAACCUUGAAGGUGGCCAGGGUCAUCUCAGCAGACUGAAAACUGAUUGAAGCCUCAGAGGAGAAUAAAUAUCAGCCAAAAAUUACUUGAAAAUGAGCCUGCAUUUUGCUCAAAUAAGUUAAUGAAACUUUGUGAACUUUCAAGACUGGGCUGAAUUUCAAGAUUGGAACAAUGCUCAACGCCAGCUUACCAAGGGGCAUGUGUUUUUGUGUGUGUGAUGUGGGGAGACAGAGACACAAAGAGGACUGAAAAUUCAGCAGAUUUUCUGUUUCAGCUGCAGCUCCUGUUUUCCACGCAUGCUGCAACAUGAAGGGAAGAAAAUCUGUCUACUAUUAUAUGCUGGUACAAUUAAAUGCACAAGCUGGCUAGCAUUUCCAUGGAUUGGCUGCAAGUCAGGAAGGUACCCAUAAAAAUAAAUAAAAAAAAUAAAAAUCUGUGUAUGCAUGCAUUUGUGUAUGUGUGUGUAUGUACAUAGAUAUAGAUAUAUAUAUAUAAUACAAUAUAACUGGGACAUGCAAUUAUUUUUCUCCUGGUUUUAAAAUGGAUUCCACUCUGUUAUCAUUGCCAAAAUAAAAUAAAAUA